rnacentral:rRNA from 1 species
UCGAGAAUCAUUCGCAAUGGGCGAAAGCCUGACGAUGCGACGCCGUGUGAGCGAAGAAGGCCUUCGGGUCGUAAAGCUCUUUCGCUUGGGAACAAGAGAAGUUGGCUAAUAACCAGCUAAUUUGAGUGUACCAGGUAAAGAAGCACCGGCUAACUCCGUGCCAGCAGCUGCGGUAAUACGGAGGGUGCAAGCAUUAAUCGGAUUUAUUGGGCGUAAAGGGCGCGUAGGCGGAUAUGUAAGUCAGAUGUGAAAUUCUUGGGCUCAACCUAAGAACUGCAUUUGAAACUGCAUUGUCUAGAGGAUAGGCGGAGAAAACGGAAUUCCACAAGUAGCGGUGAAAUGCGUAGAUAUGUGGAAGAACACCGGUGGCGAAGGCGGUUUUCUAGCUUAUUCCUGACGCUGAAGCGCGAAAGCAAGGGGAUCAAACA